GUAUUCAUAGUCGGUACUCAAGUCAGCGUCGAUGCUUAAGGUCGACCUUGAACAAAUUUGUGUUUCAUAAACCGUACUCAACGUGAAAUGCGGUCUUAGGCCCGAUUGUACAUUGGCGGCUUAAGCUAUGGCUUAGUUGAACCGGGUUCAAUUUUGAGCGUCGGUUUAACUUCAUUCGGGUUGUUCAAUGCCGAGUUCAGUUAAGCCGAGGUUCAUACAAAUUUUGGUAAGGUUGGCAACGUAAGGCAUGCGUAUUCAAAGCAAUUCCCGUCAAUUCUCGACAUAAAUUUUCCCGCCAUUUAUGUAUUAUUAUUUGGUUUUUGUCAAUAUAAUUCUUUUAUUACUGUUAUUAGUUUAAUCGGUAUUUUCUAUCGUUUAGUUUAUCAGUUUAAUCAAUUUCCUACGUUAAAUUUGUGAACAGACCAUUUGAAUAGCUUGUGAUGAAGGAUUGCGUAAGGGUGUUAUCAGGUUUUCUUGACUCCGUAACCACUAUCACCAAAGAAGAUACUAAUUCAAUCUUCACAUUCUCUUCUCAUAAAUAUUUAACUGUUUACAGCUAUGAUUUCAAAUUCACUCAAAAAUGUUAAUAUUUGCCUUAUUCUAGGGAAGUAGGUAGGUAAUUUAAAUAAUUUUAGAAGGUAAAUUAGUUUGUAAUUAUUAUUAAAUAAAGUGAUAAUAUGUACCUACAUAAGCAUGGUACAAAUAUAAUUAAUUUAAGAUUUAUUAAUAAAUUAUGUACAUCUAAUUUAAUAAAUUAACAAAAUCGUUUUCUACAUUUGCUUCAAAAUCAUUCACAAGUUGCAAAAAGGAGCCUGUUGCUUAAAACCAGUGAUAUGGGCCCACUUCACUGCACAAAACCUUAAUUUAAGGCAAUAAAAACAAUGUUCUUAGAAGAUACAGCUUGGUUCUUGAAAUGUCAAUAACAAAUUUGCCACUUGUUUUCGUUCUCGUUCUUACCUAUCUGUUCGAUUUUUUAUUCUAUGAGCAAUACUAGUUUCAUACAAAUAGUGAACAGUGAACAGAUAUCCAAAAUCUUU